AGAGACGGGGCAGCUGGAAAGCUAUGUAAAGUUUGGACCAGCAGAGGAAGAACAACACUAGUGGCAAAAAGCUAUGAUGAAUCUACACACUGACUUUCCAUAGAAUGAAACUGAUGAGUCCUGCCUUACAAUAAAGUGAGGAAGGAAGUGGAGGAAUAAGGAGACAAGAACCACAAGUUGUUUGGCAAGAGCCUGCAAUCAAUGUUCUCUUAGGGUUACCAUGAGCGAUAUCACUCUCCUGAGGAUUACACAGCAAGAUAAAGAACGGAUGUUGCUUGAAUGCCAGCAAACACCGGGACCAUACGCUGCCAGGCUUUGUCAUGCAAUGAUACCAGAUUACUUCCUGCAAGCAUGGCGCGGUCAAGUGUCCUACCAGGGAGGACGGAAUAAGGCUGCACUGCCCAGAAACCUUGUGGCAAGGCUUUUGGAGUACCUCCAGGAGAGCUUCAUGGAGAUGUCCCUGGAGGAUUUCCGCUCCAUCCCCAGACACGUUAACAGACUUUUCCAGUAGCUGUACUGGCUGCGAAUGCAUCCCAAGUCCUCAGGGCAAAGUAAUCAUUAAAAACCCUUGCUUUUAAAACAAGUUUUAUAUUUUAAAAGGUAAACUCACCUGAGGUCCCUUCCAUGCAGUCCUGGUCUUGGAUACUGGGUUGGGAGGGUACUUCAGUCAGGCUGAGAAAAAGAUCCUGGCUGUUGGGGAGAACGGAGUGCUGGGUGCUCUCUGCAAGCUCAUCCUCCUCCUCCUCCUCUUCCCCGUCCGCAGAAUCCUCAAGUGUAGCUGAUGAGAUGAUCCCCCCCCUCGGAAUCCACGGUCAGAGGUGGGGUAGUGGUGGCGGCCCCCCCCCCCAGAACUGCAUGCAGCUUGUCAUAGAAGCGGCAUGUCCGCGGUUCUGACCCAGAGUGACCGUUUGCCUCCUUUGUUUUUUGAUAGGCUAGUCUGAGUUCCUUGACUUUCACGCGGCACUGAUCUGAGUCCCUAUUGUGGCCUCUCUCCAUCAUGCCCUUGGAGAUUUUUUUCAAAAGUUUUUGCAUUUUGUCUUUUUGAACGAAGUUCUGCUAGCACUGAAUCCUCUCCCCAUAUAGCAAUCAUAUCCAGUACCUCCCGUAUGGUCCAUGCUGGUGCUCUUUUUCGAUUAUCAGCCUGCAUGGUUACCUGUGCUGAUGAGCUAUCUGUGGUCACCUGUGCUCUCCACGCUGGGCAAACAGGAAAUGAAAUUCAAAUGUUCGCGGGGCUUUUCCUGUCUACCUGGCCAGUGCAUCCGAGUUCAGAUUGCUGUCCAGAGCGGUCACAAUGUGGGACAGCACUGUGGGAUAGCUCCCGGAGGCCAAUACCAUUGAAUUGCGGCCACACUAACCCUAAUUCGAAAUGAUAAAAUCGAUUUUGGCGCUACUCCGCUGGUCGGGGUGGAGUACAGAAAUCAAUUUAAAGAGCCCUUUAUUUCUAAUUAAAUGGCUUCGUUGUGUGGACGGGUGCAGGGUUAAUUCGAUUUAAUGCGGCUAAAUCCAAAUUAAAGUCGUAGUGUAGACCAGGCCCUAGUCAAAAGAUGAUGCAGAACUUGUUUCACAACAUUGUUGGUACCCAAAGUGAACAGUAACUUACUGGAAAUUAGUAUGAACAAUUCUGAAUUUUUUUUUAACUUCCUGAUUUACUCAAUGCAGAGAUUGAAAAAAGUAACUAGGGCUCCUGGCCUUGCAAAUACUCAUGUAUUAUACUGCA